rnacentral:misc_RNA from 1 species
UACGUAGGGGGCAAGCGUUGUCCGGAAUUAUUGGGCGUAAAGCGCGCGCAGGCGGUCCGUUAAGUCUGAUGUGAAAGCUCAAGGCUCAACCGUGGAGGGGCAUUGGAAACUGGAGGACUUGAGUACAGAAGAGGAAAGUGGAAUUCCAUGUGUAGCGGUGAAAUGCGUAGAGAUGUGGAGGAACACCAGUGGCGAAGGCGACUUUCUGGUCUGCAACUGACGCUGAGGCGCGAAAGCGUGGGUAGCAAACAGG